UUGCUAUCUGCGAUAUGGAAGAUUCAAACCUGCCGCAGGUUCGGGUCUCACGUAGUGAGACAACGGAGCCGCUUGCGGCGACGGCCCGAAGGGCGAGCAAAGCGAGUCAUCCUGCACGACCCACCA
rnacentral:sRNA from 1 species